GACAACGGCUGGCGGCGUGCCUAACACAUGCAAGUCGAGCGGAGGCAGUUGAGGAGCAAUCUGAGACUGCCUGGAGCGGCGGACGGGUGAGUAACGCGUGAGCAAUCUGCCUUUCACAGGGGGAUAACGCAAGCGAAAGCUGCACUAAUACCGCAUGAGACCACGGUGACGAUGUCACAGGGGUCAAAGGAGUAAUCCGGUGAGAGAUGAGCUCGCGUCCGAUUAGGUAGUUGGUGAGGUAAGGGCCCACCAAGGCCUAUGAUCGGUAGCCGGCCUGAGAGGGUUGAACGGCCACAUUGGAACUGAGAGACGGUCCAAACUCCUACGGGAGGCAGCAGUGGGGAAUAUUGGGCAAUGGGGGAAACCCUGACCCAGCAACGCCGCGUGAGGGAAGAAGGUUUUCGGAUUGUAAACCUCUGUUCUUGGCGAAGAGAAGAAGACGGUAACCAAGGAGGAAGCCCCGGCUAACUACGUG
rnacentral:rRNA from 1 species